CCUACGGGGGGCUGCAGUGAGGAAUAUUGGUCAAUGGACGAGAGUCUGAACCAGCCAAGUCGCGUGAAGGAAGACGGUUCUAUGAAUUGUAAACUUCUUUUGUGCAGGAAUAAAGUGGGUUACGUGUAACCUUUUGUAUGUACUGUACGAAUAAGGAUCGGCUAACUCCGUGCCAGCAGCCGCGGUAAUACGGAGGAUCCGAGCGUUAUCCGGAUUUAUUGGGUUUAAAGGGUGCGUAGGUGGAUUGAUAAGUCAGCGGUGAAAGUUUGCAGCUUAACUGUAAAAUUGCCGUUGAAACUGUCGGUCUUGAGUGCAAAUGAGGUAGGCGGAAUGUGUUGUGUAGCGGUGAAAUGCUUAGAUAUAACACAGAACUCCGAUUGCGAAGGCAGCUUACUGGGAUGCAACUGACACUGAUGCACGAAAGCGUGGGUAUCAAACAGGAUUAGAUACCCCAGUAGUC
rnacentral:rRNA from 1 species